rnacentral:rRNA from 1 species
GACGAACGCUGGCGGCGUGCUUAACACAUGCAAGUCGAACGGAAAGGCCCUGCUUGUUCGGUGUGCUCGGGUGGAGAACGGGUGAAAAACAUGUGAGUACCCGGCCUUUGACUUUGGUAAAAUUUCAAGACCCUGGGUCUUAUUCCGGAUCAGAGCCCCUGCUACCUUGUGGGGGUGGGAAAGUUUCGGCUGAUGGAGAGAGCCUCGCGGCGUCUCCGCGUUUUGGUGGGGUUGUGGCUUCCCAAGGCAAUGACGGGUCGCCGGCCUGAGAGGGUAAGCGGCCAAAUUGGGACUGAGAUACGGCACAGACUGCUACCGGAGGCAGCAGUGGAGAAUAUUGCACGAUGGGCGGAAGCCUGAUGCAGCAACGCCGCGUGCGGGAUGACGGCCUUCGGGUUGUAAACCGCUUUUGCUGGGGACGAAGCGUGAGUGACGGUACUGGGAUAAGAAGCACCGGCUAACUACGUG